UUUCCUGCCUCGAUUAUGUGGAGUUGAGAAGAGAACCGGCCGUAGAACACCAUCGGCUCGCCGAUCCUCGGACCACCAGCAACGAUGGGCGGGCUCUAGGUCGCGUAGCUCGCCGGUCUUCCUGAGAUGGCGACGGCUGGGUUGUACCGAACAGAGAAGAACUAGGGCUCGACCAAUCGAAUGUGAAGAACUAGGGUGCGGGGCAGCAGCGAGGGUGGGCGGCGACGGGCCGGUGCAGGGCAGCGGCGCCGGCGGCGGAGUUGAGAGGGGAGAGAGAGAGUCGAGAGACAGGAAGGACGGGAUUGGAUUCAGCGCAGGAUUGGAGAAAAUUUUUGAAGAGAUUGGGGGAAAUUUUGAAGAGAAAUAAGGGCAAAAUCUAUUCCUUUUGUCUUUUUCUUUUUUUUCACUUUUAAUAUUCAAUUUUUGGUAUUUAGAUUUUUAAUUUAGAUUUUAUAUAAGUGUUACUUAAUGAUAAAACAAAAAAAUGUUAUGAUUUUUUUAUUUUUCAAAGUCUAUAUCUAGGAAUAAAUUCAGAUUUUAGGAUAAACAAUUUAU
rnacentral:lncRNA from 1 species